CUCUGUGAAGUGGAUUGCUUACUUAUAACACAUGGAAAAAAGGGAGGCGAAAGAUGAACUUGGCCAAGAGUGCUGGGAAAUUGCAGAGCUUGAACCUGAUCACAGAUCUUCUUACAAAUCAACCGAUCAACAUGUGUCAAGCACUGUGUCCAUUUACCCAGCAGAAGUUGGUGGGAAGCAGAGAGUGGUCCAGUGGAGUUACUGAAAAAGCUCCAAAAGCCCAGAGAAGCUAUUUGACUCCAUUUAUAAAAGAACGCAUUCCAAGAGUCCAUUUGAAAACUCAGGAGAGAGCCAAAGGGACCUAAAGCAUUUUGCAGAAAAUCAAAUAGAAGAAGAAAAAUCUCUGGCUUCACAGACUUCUCCUGGGAAGAGAAAAAAGAAACUUCCUUUACUUAAAAUAAUGCCAAAUCUUCCUAUUUCAGGCAAAGGAUACAUUUUGCUCCAGUUAAUUUUUUUCUACCCUCCUUCCAGGAUCAGAACAAAGUAUCUUCCUUGGAUAAUUUCAAGGAAAAAAAUUUAUACUAGCCAACAAAGAGGGAGAAAUGCAUAUUUAGACAAAUGAGAAUAUUUUCUGUUCUCAGAUACAAAUGCACGCACAUAUAUACAGAUAGCAAUGUCAACUGGCAUAAUUGUGAACCCCAAACAUUUUUACCCCACUUAGGGCAGCACGCUGAGUGGAAAACACAUGUAACACACACAUUGGAUCUGCCUCAUUGUCUUGUCUUAACUAAUUAAACUGUAUAGUGUUUGCUCUUCUACUGCUGUGUUAAAUGUUUGAAUUUCCCUUUCAUUUAAGAUUUAGAGUUGGACAUUAAGUUUCCAAAUGACUCCACACUUUGUGAUUAGUGCCGGUAUAGUGCAUCCAAACUGAAGAUAUCAGACAUUUAAUUCACACUGUGUUUCACAGGCCUAUUUCUCUUCUGUAGCUGGACCCCUCUACACCAGUGCUGCUUAAUAUUUAUUGGAAUUUAAGCAUGUCAUGUUCCAACUUUUAAUGUCAACAUAAUCUUGCAAGGGUAAAUGCAAAUUCCACAUGAUACAUGCUAUCUGUGACUCUGUGUUAGUUGUACCUGAUGCAUGUUUGUUAAACAUUUAUAAAUAUUUGAAAGCACUAAAAAUAAGGAUAGACUUAAAAUGUCCUCCUGGUAGGGCUAACACAAUCUAUUUUACUGAACAAAGCAUCAUCUUUUUUUUUUUUUAACAUCAAUAUUCUUCUAGUGAUUUUGUAUGGCUAGGAGUCAUGGGAAGAACUAAGUUUAAUGGAGAAUGAAUUACUAAAUAUAUCACUAAAUAUCUACCAUAUUGGCUUUAAAAAGGCAGUAUCAAAUAACUUAAUAUUACUUCAAUUAUAAUGCUAUCAAUGGAAAAUCUCCAAGGCCUUCUUUUGGGUAUGACUCCAAGUCAUAUAGAUGAUAAGCAAAUAAGUUGCUAGAUUAAUUAUACUUAACAUAAUAAUAGCAUACUAUAAUUUUAUUCUAUCAAUUAAUAUAUUAUUUGUAAUAUACUAUUUAGUAUAAGAUAAAUUAUUUUAAUCUUAACUAUUAGAUACUUGUGAUUAUAUAAAAUAUAUUUGUUUAAAUCUCUUUAUAACAUGACCCUGAACCUAUCUCUCCAGACUUAUUUCAUAUUAUUCUCCUUCAUAUACUCUAGGGUAGGGGCCCCCAAACUUUUUACACAGGGGGCCAGUUCACUGUCCCUCGGACCGUCGGAGGGCCAGACUAUAAAAAAAUAUAUAUGAACAAAUCUAUACACCACUGUCUGGGAUAGUGGAGGCUGCAGUGCUGGCUGGGAUGGGCCUGUCACACCUUGCACAGUCCCAGCACUGCCACCACUAUACCAGGCAGCAGUAUACACAGUGCAGAAUCCCCUCCCCCAGAUCACCACUCACCAUGCUGACAUCAUCCAUUGUGCAGCCACAUAAUCCUUUGUGCAGCGCCUCGUUCUCAUUCAGUUACUCUUAGAACAAAGUGCCACACAAAGGAUUAUGUCAUCAGAAGUAGUACUGUACAUGAGCAAUGCCACACUUUGCGGCGCUGCUACAUAGAGUGCUCCUCUCACUGAUUACCAAUGAAAGAGGUGCCCCUUCCAAAAGUGUGGUGGGGGCUAGAUAAAUGGCCUCAGGGGCCACAUGUGGCCCGUGGACCAUAGUUUUGGGGACCCCUGCUCUAGGGAAUAGCCUUCUUACUAUUCUUCACGCUGGACUCUAUUUCUGUAUCUUUGUCUUUCAUUGAUUAUCCCCAUGAAUGAAAUCAGCUCUUUUCUCACCUCCCAACUCUUAGAUUCCCUGCAGUUGUUGUGUACUCAUUUUUUCAGUCAUAUUUAACACUUUGUGACCUUAUUUGGUAUUUUCGUGGCAAAGACUGGAAUGGUUUGUUAUUUCCUUCUGCAGCUCAUUUUACAGAUGAAGGAACUGAGGCAAACUGGGUCACACAACUAGUAUCUGAGGCUAGAUUUGAACUCAGGUCUUCUGGACUCCAGAUCCUGUGCUCUAGCCACUGUGCAACUUAGCUGUCCCACUUGGAUUCCCUAGUUCCCUUCAAGGCCGAAUUCAUUCACCAUCUUCUAUGUGAAGCCUCUCCUAAUCUUCCAGUUACUAUUGCUACCCUUGUUCAAAAUCACCUCACAUCUAUUUAUCUAUAUAUGUACAUCUUGUCUCUCCCCAGUAGAAUGUAAGCCCCUUGAAGGCAGGAAUUUAUUUGACUUUUGGCUUUAUAACUCCAGCAUCUACCACAGUGUUUGAAAUAUAGUAACUAAUGAAUGUUUGUUGAUUGAUUGAUAAUUGAUAUAAUUAGAUACUAUUUUUCAACUCAUGUUGAUUCUGAUUAUAGAUACCAGUAUUUAACACUCUCACUUCUCUCCAGAUUCCAGACCGUCUCUGUCAUGCCACAGAAACAUCUUCACUUUGGAAUCUCACUCCAACCCUGGACUUUAUGAAUUGGAAGUCCCCUCUACCCCUUCAGCUUCUCCCUCUGAUUGGUGGGAGAAUUGCCCUUUGAAGGAGUGUGCUCAGAAUGUCUCUUCUUUCAUCUCUUUCCCUCCCCACCCUUCUUCUUCCUUUUAUAUGUUAUCUUCUACCUUUAGAAUGAAUGUAAGCUUCUUGAGAAUGAGGACUAGCUUUCUUUUUUGCUUAUAUUUAUAUUGCCAGCUCUUAGCGUGGUGCCUGACACAUAGCAGGCACUUAAUAAAGGCUGGUUGACUUCAAUUGACUGACA
rnacentral:lncRNA from 1 species